UACGUAGGGGGGCGAGCGUUGUCCGGAUUUUACUGGGCGUAAAGGGCGUGCAGGCGGUUUGUUAAGUGCAGAGUGAAAGCUCCCGGCUCAACUGGGAGAGGUCUUUUGCAUACUGGGCAAACUCGAGGGGAGGCAGAGGAAAGUGGAAUUCCCGGGUGUAGUGGUGAUAUGCGUAGAUAUCGGGAGGAACACCUGUGGCGAAGG
rnacentral:rRNA from 1 species